CAGGAAUCGGACAGGAUGGCCGGGGCCGGUGGCCAGCACCACCCUCCGGGCGCCGCGGGCGGAGCGGCCGCCGGGGCUGGCGCCGCGGUCACCCCAGCCGCUGCCCCGGCGGGCCCGGGAGAGGAUUCAUCCGACAGCGAAGCGGAGCAAGAGGGACCCCAGAAACUGAUCCGCAAAGUGUCCACCUCCGGGCAGAUUCGGACCAAGACCAGCAUUAAAGAGGGACAACUAUUGAAGCAAACCAGUUCUUUCCAGAGGUGGAAAAAGCGAUACUUCAAACUUCGAGGUCGUACACUUUAUUAUGCCAAGGACUCAAAGUCUCUGAUAUUUGAUGAAGUGGACCUCUCAGAUGCCAGUGUAGCUGAAGCGAGCACAAAAAAUGCUAAUAACAGCUUCACGAUAAUCACUCCAUUCAGAAGACUCAUGCUAUGUGCUGAGAACAGAAAGGAGAUGGAGGAUUGGAUCAGCUCACUGAAGUCUGUACAGACCAGAGAACCUUACGAGGUGGCCCAGUUUAAUGUGGAACAUUUCUCAGGGAUGCAUAACUGGUACGCCUGCUCCCACGCCCGACCCACUUUCUGUAACGUGUGCAGGGAGAGUCUUUCCGGAGUCACUUCCCACGGCCUGUCCUGCGAAGUGUGUAAAUUCAAGGCUCACAAAAGAUGUGCAGUGAGGGCAACCAAUAACUGCAAAUGGACCACUCUGGCCUCUGUCGGGAAGGACAUCAUAGAGGAUGAGGAUGGAGUAGCCAUGCCUCACCAGUGGCUUGAGGGCAACUUGCCCGUGAGCGCCAAAUGUGCUGUCUGUGACAAAACAUGUGGCAGUGUUCUCCGUCUGCAAGACUGGAAAUGCCUUUGGUGUAAAACAAUGGUACAUACUGCCUGCAAAGAUUUGUACCAUCCUGUAUGUCCACUUGGCCAGUGUAAAGUGUCUAUCAUACCUCCAAUUGCACUAAACAGCACCGAUUCUGAUGGUUUCUGUAGAGCAACAUUUUCAUUCUGUGUUAGUCCUCUAUUGGUUUUUGUCAAUUCUAAGAGUGGAGAUAAUCAGGGAGUAAAGUUCCUCCGGCGAUUCAAACAGUUACUAAAUCCAGCUCAGGUGUUUGACUUAAUGAAUGGAGGUCCUCAUUUAGGUUUAAGAUUAUUCCAGAAGUUUGACAAUUUCCGGAUUCUUGUUUGUGGAGGAGAUGGAAGUGUAGGUUGGGUUUUGUCAGAAAUUGAUAAACUCAACUUGAAUAAACAGUGUCAGCUGGGAGUCUUGCCCUUAGGGACAGGCAAUGACCUUGCUCGGGUUCUUGGCUGGGGAGGUUCCUAUGAUGAUGACACCCAACUUCCUCAGAUACUAGAGAAGUUGGAACGAGCCAGCACCAAGAUGUUGGACAGGUGGAGUAUAAUGACUUAUGAACUCAAAUUGCCACCAAAGGCUUCUCUACUUCCAGAGCCUCCAGAAGCAUCUGAAGAAUUUUAUAUGACAAUUUAUGAAGACUCAGUUGCAGCUCAUCUUACCAAAAUCCUCAAUUCUGAUGAACAUGCAGUGGUCAUAUCAUCUGCCAAGAUACUAUGUGAAACUGUAAAAGACUUCGUUGCCAAAGUAGAGAAGGCACAUGAAAAAACAUUGGAAAAUGCUGUUGUAGCUGAUGCUGUGGCCAGUAAAUGUUCAGUCCUUAACGAGAAACUGGAACAACUGCUCCAGGCCUUGCACACAGACUUUCAAAAAGCUCCUUCAGAUUUCUCUGGGGUCAGCCCUGUCAUCGUAGAAGAAGAUCCUGUAGAAUCUUCGAGUGAAGAUUCCUUGUGUGAAAGCAAGGAACAACUUGUGGAUGACACGACAAGACCCUCCUCUCAGAAGGCUGUCAAACCAAAGGAAAUAAUGCUGCGGGCAAACAGUUUAAAGAAAGCUGUGAGGCAAGUCAUUGAAGAAGCCGCAAAAGCAAUGGAUGACCAUACAGUUCACCCCUGUGAGCCAGUUAAUCAGUCAUUUGAUUAUGAUAGUACAGAAACAGAUGAAUCUAAAGAAGAUUCUAAAGAUGAUGAUGCAAAAGAAACAUUAGCUGUUAAAAUGGCACCUCGGUCUCCAGAUGGUCGGGCAAGCCGUUCCCAAACUGACUCUGCCCCUGGUCCCACUGUGGCAGCUUGUAAAGAAAACCUCCCUGUGCUCAAUACCAGAAUAAUCUGCCCAGGUUUAAGAGCAGGACUAGCUGCCUCAAUUGCUGGGAGUUCUAUUAUCAACAAAAUGUUACUAGCAAAUAUUGAUCCUUUUGGUGCAACACCAUUUAUUGACCCAGAUCCAGAUUCAGUAGAUGGAUAUUCAGAAAAAUGUGUCAUGAACAAUUACUUUGGGAUUGGAUUAGAUGCAAAAAUUUCACUAGAAUUUAAUAAUAAGAGAGAGGAACACCCUGAAAAAUGCAGGAGCCGAACUAAAAACUUGAUGUGGUAUGGAGUCCUUGGAACCCGGGAAUUGUUACAGAGAUCAUACAAGAAUUUAGAACAGAGGGUGCAACUUGAGUGUGAUGGACAGUAUAUUCCUCUGCCCAGUCUGCAAGGAAUAGCGGUAUUGAACAUCCCCAGCUAUGCUGGAGGCACUAACUUCUGGGGUGGAACUAAAGAGGAUGAUAUAUUUGCUGCACCAUCAUUUGAUGACAAAAUCCUGGAAGUUGUUGCAAUAUUUGAUAGUGUGCAAAUGGCAGUUUCAAGGGUCAUUAAACUUCAGCAUCAUCGAAUAGCCCAGUGCCGUACAGUAAAAAUCACCAUAUUUGGUGAUGAGGGAGUCCCAGUGCAGGUGGAUGGUGAAGCAUGGGUUCAGCCUCCAGGGAUCAUCAAAAUUGUACACAAAAAUAGAGCUCAGAUGCUAACAAGGGACAGGGCUUUUGAAAGCACUUUAAAAUCUUGGGAAGAUAAACAGAAGUGUGAUUCUGGUAAACCAGUUCUUCGAACCCAUUUGUACAUCCAACAUGCCGUUGACUUGGCAACAGAAGAGGUGUCACAGAUGCAGCUGUGCUCCCAAGCUGCAGAGGAGCUCAUUACCAGAAUUUGUGACGCAGCUACCAUUCACUGUCUUUUGGAGCAGGAGCUGGCCCACGCGGUGAACGCAUGCUCCCACGCACUGAAUAAAGCUAACCCACGGGCUCCAGAGAGUCUUACAAGAGACACCGCCACUGAAAUAGCCAUCAAUGUGAAGGCUCUGUACAAUGAAACAGAAUCUUUACUAGUCGGCAGAGUUCCUUUGCAAUUGGAAUCACCACAUGAAGAGCGUGUAUCCAAUGCCUUACAUUCUGUGGAGGUGGAGUUACAGAAACUAACAGAGAUCCCUUGGCUUUAUUAUAUUUUGCACCCAAAUGAGGAUGAGGAGCCUCCUAUGGAUUGCACCAAGAGAAACAACAGGAGCACAGUAUUUCGCAUAGUGCCAAAAUUUAAAAAGGAAAAGGUUCAGAAGCAGAAGACAAGUUCCCAGUCUGUUCAGAAAUGGGGCACAGAGGAAGUUGCUGCUUGGCUGGAUCUGCUCAAUUUGGGAGAAUACAAAGAAAUCUUCAUUCGUCAUGACAUCAGAGGGGCUGAACUUUUGCAUCUGGAAAGGCGAGAUCUUAAGGACCUGGGGAUACCGAAGGUCGGUCAUAUGAAGCGAAUUCUCCAGGGAAUUAAGGAACUUGGAAGGAGUACUCCCCAGUCUGAGGUGUAAUCACAUUGGUGCUAUUCCUUGGAAGAGAAAGAAUUGCCACGCAAUACAAAGUGCUUGGAAGCAAUGGCUGUCCUUGUAGUUUUCUGCCUGGAGAAAUGCAUGUGGUGGUUUUAUAACACCAAGUUCCUUAAAUCAGUGGAAAAGAAGAUUGAGAAGUGAAACUGAUGUCACAACCUUGACACCUAGCCUCUGCCCCCUACCUUCCUUGGGGGCUUCCCACAGUGUCUGGCUGCGUCCUUCUCCCAUUCCUCUGGCUGUCCCAUGCCAAGUAUGUUGGGGCUUGGGUUUUUUUUUUUUUUUUUUUUUUUUGUCUCUGCUAUGGCAUCUUCUCAGUGACUUCUAUUUAGCAAGCUGUGUCAGAUGGGUCAUAGGAUGCCUUUGCAAUAGGAUGCCUUUCUAAAGAAACAUCCAAACAAUCUAAAAGGCAAUGAUUAUUGAUUUUUAUAAUAUGCAACACAUUGAUUUUUAUCUUUAUUAUUGUUUCUCUGUAUUUUUUUCUUCAAGUUUUGUUUAGAGACAUGGCUGUUAGAAGAAAAAAUUCUAAAGGUUUAUCAUUUCAGAGAACUGAGAGAUUAAAAGACAGCUGGACUGUACCUAUUUGAAUACUUUUUGUUAUUUUCUGAAACAGAAGUGUAACUGAGACUGUAUUAAACUCAGUAACAAUAAUAAAGAUAAACCUAUAUUACUAAUAUAGGUGAACAGAUUAGUUCCUUUUAUGUAGUUAAGAUAUUCUAUUUACAUAUAUUUAUACUCUUUGAAUUUUUAUGCACUUCCAAACCUUAGUUGGAAAAAUAGAAACCAAGCCACUACUUAAGUUAUUAAAUCCCUACAUAAAGUAUUUCAUUGCAGCUACAAGUUAUUCAUUGUAUAGGAAUUUAUAAAUAGUCUUGGUAUUUCAUAGGAACUGCAUUUCAAGAGUAAAUUAACUAAAUCUAAAGGAACAUAAGGUUACUUUUAAAAUGCAUUAAAGUUUCAUACUCAGUUGAUAAUGCCACUGACAUAGGAUCAAUGCAGUUAGAUAUACAAGCUAAAGAGGAAAAAGAGUCUAUUUUGUGGUCCUUACUGUUUGAUUGCACUAUUGUUUACCAUAGCUUAGCCAUAUCUAUUUCUGUAUUCUCAGUAUUAAGCUGAAAUGUAGCUAAAGAUUUCUUACAGUUCUGGUAACUGGUAACUAGUAUUGUAAAAGGCUCUGGCAUUGUAACAUUCCCAGUUUUGUGAGUUAUAUAUUGUAUAAUGAAGAUGACUAUAACUGAUAAAUCGGAGUAAUAUAUUUAUCUAGAGCUGGGAAAAUACAAUAAUUAUUUUCAAAUCUUCAAGUAAGUUGUAUUAAAUUUUUUCUUCCUUUUAAGUAAGAUAAAAAGUCUCACUUUUAUGUUAAAAUGUCUAUUUAUACAACAUGUUUCUCCUUUUACUGGUCUUAUUAAUUUUCAUAUUAAAUUUUUUCUUAUCUUUUUAUACCAAAAUAAUUAUGCUGGUGAUUCAAACUGCCAAGAUGUAUUUUAAUUUGCUGGAAUCUUGGCAGACGAAAUAUUCAAUAACAAACCAGCUUUGUAUAUUUUGUGGCUUUAAGGCAGGAAUUUUACCUUCAAAUCUCUAAAUGAGGCAGUGCUGGUAUCAGCAAAGUUAAUAAUAGUAUUACUCAGUCAUCAGUAGAAGGUUUUCAAAAGUUGUAUAAAUCAGUGCAUUUAUUUAUUAUGUUGUGAAACUUAAUCUGUAUACAAAAUGCAUAUUCUAGCUCUUUGUUAUGCUGUUGCUUAGAGUAUAGUAACACAAUUCUGUUAACUAUUUACUUAUGUACUUGAAGUACUCAUUUCUGUCAAACAGAUGCCCAACUUUUUUCCUUACAAAAAGAAAAAAAUGGUAUUCUUUACCAUCAUAGGUAACUGACUAGUAAUAGGAACUUCGUUAAAUGUUGAAAAAUACAUAUGGAAUAAAGAUGUAAAGCCAAAAUGAAAUCACCAAUAUAAGAAUUUAAUGUAGCCUUAGGAUUAUUUUGUUAUUUUUUGCCAAUAUAUAUUUUAUCCUGAGGUCAGAACUUACUUUCUAGAGUAAAUUUUCAGUUUUCGAGUGAAUGAGUUCUCAGUGAUUAUACUGCCAAUUUGAUCUUUAAAAGAAAAAAUGUCACAAGCAUGUACCGGCCAGCUUUUGAUUCUCGGGAGUCUAUUUUUUAACACAUUUGCAUUUGGACUGGUUCACAAAUAAUGAUAUGAAAGGUAGUAGUUUAGUUUUUUGUUUUCUCAGUUAAGUUAAUGUGAUUUCAAUUGGAUUUUUAAAUUAUUUCUGCUUAAGAGUAUUCUUAAUCAAUUGUUGAAAAAACUAAAAAUUUAAAACAGAAUGUCACAACAUACAAAACAGAAUAAAAUUGCAUAUUUUUGGGGAAGACAAAAAAGCUAUUCUGAGUUAAGCUGAGGCAGUAUUAUAUACCAAAGAAAUUGCUUUAACAAACCCUAAAUGCAACUGUUUUAUUGUUUUUACAGUAUAAGCAGUACAUGAAUUGUGAAUUAUCUAAGAAGUACAGUAGGAGAUUAAAUAGGAAUUAGUUUAUUAUGAUUUUAAAGAGUUUUAUAUUCAUUUUACCAUAGUACAUGCAAUUAUUGAAGGUAGGGAAAAGAAAAUACGUUAGAAACAUGGAAAUUAAAGGAAAUAGGAGCUUGAUCUGGCAAUGCAGGAAAGAUUUGGAAAUGGAUCCUUUGAGCAUAUCUUUAUAUAAUAAAUAUAAAUGUCUUUAACCUUAUAGAAAUACAAAAUACUUGUGGGAAGUACAAUAGGCACAGUACCACACAGACAAAAAAAUGUUCCACUGGUGAAGUCUGACACUACUUCUGUAUCUUAUCAAAACAGCCAGUGAAUUCGGGAGCCCCUUGUUCUGUUGAAGAAGGGGUAGUUUGUUGAACAAGGUAGUUUGGAUCAUCUGGUCAUUUGUGUUUACUACAUGAGGCAAAUAUCUGAUCUUGCUCAACUUAGGUGAUACAGGGAAAAAUAAUCAGAAGAGCUUAAGCUAGUUCCUAGAGAACACAGUUACACGUGGAUUAGAACAUACCCUGCAGACUAAAGAGAUUUUUAUGAUCUUGCUUUAAGCCUUGAAAUUUGUUAGCAAUGAUGGAUUAUCCUUCAUUUGAAAUGAGAAAAUUAUUAAAAAUUACAAUAUUAUAAGUAGCUGAAUCCUGUGAUUCUGGAGAUGGGAAUAGUGAGGGUUUAUGGGAUCUGAUCAGUGACUGUGUCCUUUCUACAAAGCUGUAUGUUUUGGUGACUCAUUUUCCCCAACUAGAAAUAGCACACAAUGUUAUCAACUAUAAGUAUUUGGUAAUUUUUCUUUUACAAGAGGAACUAUCUAAGUAUGCAUCAUACCUAAAUCUGCCCUUUCUUUCCUCUGUCAAUUUAUAUGUAAACAUUAAAAUUAAAAGUCCAAAUUAAUAUUCCUUGAUGUUCAGUUUUAAAAGACAAGUGCAGUUCUAAUAGUACUAUCUGUACCAGAGUCAGUCAUGGUAUUUUCAUCUGGAUGCUUUAAGUUCAUAUUAUUCAUUUGAGAAUAUGCUAAGAACUCACUUCUAAAGUCUUCAGAAAUUUAGAAUAAUUUUAUUUUUUCAAUACUCACCUCCAGACAGCGAUUUGAUAGCAGUGCUUUGUGUGUGUGUGUGUAUCAAGUCUUUUCUUAGACUAACUCUCCAAAGGGAAAAUUGUCUUCUUAAGUCAGUGGUUGAAAAAUUGGAAUAUGGGACUCCCUUACCUUGUUUUCCCCUGUGAUGUAAUGUACCAUCUGUACUAAGUGACUUCUGCAUAGAUUCUUUGCUGUUUCUUCCAAGCCUGGGUCUCUGUGCGAUGAUACUCCCUCGUGCAAAGUACCUUCAAAAUUUUCUGUAAAGAAACUAGAGAUUAUCUUAAUUACUACCAUAAUGGAAAUCUGAGUGUCAUUAAAAGAAAUCAUUUCAAAUGACCUAGCUAAAAUCAUUAAUUAUAUAUGAGGGUAAAGGAAUAUUGACUAUUUAUACCUGACAUUCAAAGUCAGCCACCCUAUGAUCUUUAAUGUAAAGAUUUCUUUGUUAAAUCUGGUAAUUUUGUAACAUAAUAUGAUAACUUGGAGCUCUUAUUGCAUCUCCCUCCCCUGAAAAUGUUGAAAUUAUAAGAAGGUGUAAAGUGCAAACUGAUGGUAUAAGGAAAAAACUGAAUCAGAACUCAUCAGCAUGAUAUUCUGACCUGUCUUAAUGACACAGCUUACUUUUCAUGAAGACAGAUCUCUAAAUGAUGAUUUCAGAAUGACUGAUACAGUGACUACAAGAAAUUAUUUUUCUGAAAAUUUUCUUCUCACAGGGACCUAAUUAAUAGACAUGUGAUUUUGCAUAAUGAAGAUUAACUAUGACAUUAGUUAGAUCCUGCUUACAGAUAUAAACUGAAUUUGUGUCAUUUCAAGUCAUUUCUAGUGUAUGAUUAUUCAUUUUUUAUUCAAAUGUAAGAAGUCUUGUUUGCCACAGUUAUUACCCCUUGUGGAAUAUAAUAACUAAAAAUUGUUACCAAGGGGUCUGCUUUCCUUUUGUGAUUCUAUAAAACCUUUAAAAUGUCUCAAAAUUAUGACAAAUGUUACACCAAAAACUCUUAGAAGUGAAUAAUUUCUAAAAUUAAAUAGUUGUCCAAAAUGCAUAUAAUUAAAUUUAAAUGCCCUCUUUUUCCCUCACUUAAUGAACAUUUUCCUAUCUUCUCUGUACUCAGUACUUGAUUAGAUGCCGAGGCUACAAAUGAAAUAAGGCAUAGCUCUUGUCUGGUAAAGUUCAAGUUUGUUUUCAUAAUUGUUUUUCGACAGUUUGUUAAAUUUAGAGGACUUUUUUAUUAAAUUAUUUUUUUACUGAGGUAACAGUUUGUAACACUUUGUUUUAGAGGUGUAGGUUGACACCUUUGAGAGGUAUGCUCCCAUGCCACACCACACAUCCCACCAAAGCCCCAAGAGCCUUUCACCAUAGCUCAUUAGGCCUCCCACCCCCGCACUUACCCUUUGCUCCCUAUUCGCUACCAUCUUCCUCUGAUAGCCUUAGCUGUGCAGUCAGAUUUUAGGGGGCUUUUUGGUUUGUCUGUUCCUUUGCUUUGUUUCUUUAUAUUCCACAUGAGAAUGAAACCAUCUGAUGCAUAUCUUUCUCCUUCUGAUUUAUUGCAUUUAGCGUAGUCCUCUCCAAUUCAAUUCAUGUUGUCACAAAUUGCAACAUUUCAUUUCUUAAAUAGUGAAGUAAUAUUCCUGUGCGUAUAUUUACCACAUCUUCUUUAUCACCUUAUCUGUCCUUAUGCAUUUAAAUUGUUUUCAUUAGCACUAUUAUAAAUAGUGCUUCAAUGAACAUAGGAGUGUAUAUAUCCCUUCAAAUUAGGGAGGGCAUUUUUAAAAACAAGUAUUUCUCAGGUUAUUUCAGAGUAGUCUCCUUCCAAUAAAAAACUGACCAAAUUCUCUGUAAUAAGGAAGUGAUCCAAUUUUUAUGUGAAAUUUUUUUUUUUUGUAUUUUUAGGUCAUCUGCAGUUAAUGUUUGACCAUCACUUGUCAAUUACAUCUUUCAUCAAUCCCGUAGAACCCUGUUUCCACAACCAUAGGUGCUAUAUGUGACCCAAGUGACUAACAGUAUUAUCGAAUAUGAGCAAAAUUUCAGGUCCAUUUUAAGAAGGGAUAGAUCCUGAUUAGUAACUCACCAAAAUACAUAAGGUAUGCAUGUGAACCGCAGUAGAGGGGAAAGUUUUAAGGGAAUGCUUUCUGGUAUACUUGAAAGGCUCCACUCCAAGUUAUGGGUUGAUGGUUCCAUCUUGAUUAUAUUUAAUGGAAGUAGAAAGAAAUAAUAUUUAGCAGGUCAAUGCACAGCUAGUAUUUGUGUGCCUCAGAACACUGAUAUACAGAUGAACCCAAACAAAAAUAUUUGAAUUAAAAAAAAUUAACUUCUCUAAAUACUUGAUGAUUAGGCAGUAGGGUUUCUUUGAGAAGGAAAAGAAUAUCUUUAUAUUUAUUGUUAGCAAGUGUGGAAGGACAUUACUUGUAUGUAUAGUUACAUUGUGAUAGGCAUAUUUUGAACUGUUUCCCAUUAGCAUAAAGUAUCAACCAUUUCUUUGUUCUCUAGCAAAAAAAAAAAUUCUUAGUUUAAUACAACUUUACUCUUUUUUCUACAUUAUAAAGGGUCCACAAAAGGAGGCUCAGAUGCUGGACAUUUGUCCUUAUGUUCAGCAUAUUCUUGUUACCUUUCAAUAAAUAUAAUCAGUAGUUAUUGGCUGUUUAUCAUCGUAUUAAAAACAUAGCAGUUUACUUCCUUUUGUCCUUUACAUUGCAAAAGAUAGUUUUAAUUUCACUUUUGUCAUAUUAUUUAUAGUUAAAAAUUUACUACAUUUUGGUAGUCUGUUGUAAAACUUGUACUUGUGUCUGAAAGAUGCAGAUUGUGUUUAUUUAUUACACAGUGGGCUCUGUUUGCUGCAGAAAAGAGUGAAACUUUUAACUGCUUAGCACACUUGCCAGUGAAAUAUACCUGACAGAGCAGAGGUUAUAACUUUGGCUCUAAUUACUUUUAAUAAUGGUAAGAAACGUGAGUUUUGUUUGUUUACAUGCUGUUUACAAUGGCAUAAUUUUUUAAAUAUAUACAACAAUUGAGAUAUUUAUUGCAUACUAUUUUAAAGAUGUUUUAUGUGUUUUCACCUUUGGAAUAUAUUGUUACAGUUCCUUAUACAGAUAAUUUGGGUGGCUUUGUUAAUGUAGCUAGUAAUUUUUAUGACUACUAAGUGACCGGUUUUCCGUGCCUUUUAUUGUGGGAUGCAUGAUUAUGUAUUUAUUGUACGGAAGUCACUGAUGUGUGUAUUUUUGUACUUUGCUGAGAUUAAUGAUUGAUCUCGAUGUACAUGAUGAUGAUGAGAGAUGCCUUUCCCAAAGGGCACUGCCUUGAGA